AGUGAACGCUGGCGGUAGGCCUAACACAUGCAAGUCGAACGGCAGCACAGUAAGAGCUUGCUCUUACGGGUGGCGGGUGGCGGACGGGUGAGGAAUACAUCGGAAUCUACUUUUUCGUGGGGGAUAACGUAGGGAAACUUACGCUAAUACCGCAUACGACCUACGGGUGAAAGCAGGGGAUCUUCGGACCUUGCGCGAUUGAAUGAGCCGAUGUCGGAUUAGCUAGUUGGCGGGGUAAAGGCCCACCAAGGCGACGAUCCGUAGCUGGUCUGAGAGGAUGAUCAGCCACACUGGAACUGAGGCACGGUCCAGACUCCUACGGGAGGCAGCAGUGGGGAAUAUUAGACAAUGGGCGCAAGCCUGAUCCAGCCAUACCGCGUGGGUGAAGAAGGCCUUCGGGUUGUAAAGCCCUUUUGUUGGGAAAGAAAAGCAGCAGGUUAAUACCCCGCUGUUCUGACGGUACCCAAAGAAUAAGCACCGGCUAACUUCGUG
rnacentral:rRNA from 1 species